GAUGAACGCUGACAGAAUGCUUAACACAUGCAAGUCGAUGGGGAAGUGGUGCUUGCACCAUGGCAACCAUGGCGGACGGGUGAGUAACGCGUAAGGGACUUACCUGCAGGACUGGGAUAACAGGGGGAAACUCCUGACAAGACCGGAUAAUGUCAUGGAGCUGCAUGGCUUUAUGAUGAAAGGAGACGCCUGCGGAGAGCCUUGCGUCCUAUUAGCUAGUUGGUGAGGUAAUGGCUCACCAAGGCGAAGAUAGGUAGCCGGCCUGAGAGGGUGGACGGCCACAAGGGGACUGAGAUGCGGCCCUUACUCCUACGGGAGGCAGCAGUGGGGAAUAAUGGACGAUGGGGGCAACCCUGAUCCAGCAAUUCUGUGUGCACGAAGAAGGUUUUCGGAGUGUAAAGUGCUUUCAGCAGGGAAGAAGUAAGUGACGGUACCGGCAGAAGAAGCGACGGCUAAAUACGUG
rnacentral:rRNA from 1 species